CUUUGACACCCGUUUUCACCCGUUCGAAGGGCGUUCUGACUCGGAAUUUCGAUCUGAUUUCAGAUUUGGAGUCUAUUUGAGCAGCUGGAAUUCAUAGACAUCACUUCUCUUCAUUUGCUAAGGUGAGACCGAUGAGCAGGAGUGAUCAUAUCGGACUAGUGCUACUAUUUGGGCUCGUGGGCUUUAUCGUUCAUCGUUUUAUCUUUUAUCGUUAUUGGGCCUUCAGGCCUUCAGACUUCUAUCGUUUAUGUUAUUUCUUAUUUCAGCCUUCGGGCUUAUGUUGUUAUUUAUAUUUCGGAUGUUUAUUUUCGGAUUAUGACUUUAUGAUAUGACGUGGAUUUUAUUAUCCGUAUUAUUAUUAUUA